CCGGAGCUCCGGUGGCGGCGGGAUGGAAUUUCCUCUCGUGGAGUUUCCCGCUGCAGGAGGGGCCUUUAAGGUGAUGGUGAAGGAAAGGAGUCGGUUCUGAUGGAGGGUUUAAUCCAGAGCUUUAUUCUGGCCCACAGGACUCUGAAUGGAGCAGCAGCUCCAAACAGAACUCCCACAGGCCUCUGGAUCCAGUCACUGCUCCAUCAGAACUUCCCGGACCGCGUGGCUGCUUGCCCUUUUUCCUCGGGAGGGGAUAGGGAGCCACCAACCAGGAGGGUCCCUAUCUUCAGCUGAGGCUUCCAGGUCGUCCAUUGGAGCACUAGGGGCUUCCAAGUGGUAGACUUCAGUGGGGGAAGAUGAGCUUGGAAUUAACUUGUGAACCAUGCGCUUGAUUAGCCCAAAAACAAUGCUAACAACUACAAUAACAACAACUGGAAUAAACAGUACCAAAGAGUUUUCAGAAUAGAUCCAAA